CUGGGCCGAAGGGGAGCAGAAGCCACCUUCUGCGCGCGCCGUCUCCGCUCUCCCCCCCCUCCGGGAGGUGGGGGCUGGGAGGCAUCCCCGUCUCCGCCCCUUCCGCACCGCGCACAGAAAGAUGAACUGGCAAGAGGUCUGUUUGCCUCGACCCAUCAACAGCUGGGAGACUAAUCGACCACACUGAAAAUGUUUCCGGGAUUGUGGGGGAGGGGUUGGAAUGUAGAUGUUUGAAACAAAUGUGUAUAAAUAAAUGAAUUGUUGAUAACUUAGUUAUUGACCCGAAGACUGGUAGCUUGUUAAAGAAACUCCAUGUUCCUCCUUCCUGGAGUUGGGGGUUUCUGUAGGCACUUUAUUUCUCCACUUUCAAAAGCUUGGGUUUGGCCCAACUCUGAGGCUGCCCAAUCCUGUUUCUAUUACCAAUUUAAAUCUAUGGCUUGAACCUCUACACUGAAAAACCAAAUCCAUUCCCUUUAAAAAGAAAGAAAGAAAAAAAGAAAAAGAACACUUCUCAGAAGUCCUAACCAUUUUCUGGCUUUCUUUUUUGUUGUUGUCUAUUUGAAGACUUUGAACAUGCCCCCUUAAUAAAUAUAUUAAAAUUAAAAAAGAA